GUGGUUUAAUUCGAUGAUACGCGAGGAACCUUACCUGGGCUCAAAUGUAUGUUGACGUAUUCUGAAAGGGAUACUUCUUCGGACAAUAUACAAGGUGCUGCAUGGUUGUCGUCAGCUCGUGCCGUGAGGUGUCGGGUUAAGUCCCAUAACGAGCGCAACCCCUAUCAUUAGUUGCCAUCAGGUCAAGCUGGGGACUCUAAUGAAACUGCCUACGCAAGUAGUGAGGAAGUGGGGAUGACGUCAAAUCAGCACGGCCCUUACGUCCAGGGCUACACACGUGCUACAAUGGCCGGUACAAAGGGCAGCUACCUGGUGACAGGAUGCUAAUCUCAAAAGCCGGUCUCAGUUCGGAUCGGAGUCUGCAACCCGACUCUGUGAAGCUGGAAUCGCUAGUAAUCGCGCAUCAGCCAUGGCGCGGUGAAUACGUUCCCGGGCCUU
rnacentral:rRNA from 1 species